UAUUUGUAUGAAACUGAAUAGAUGUACUACAGAAGCCCACAUAUCUGCUAUAUUUGGCAGAUGACGAGUCAAGGGCUGGCUAGCACCUGAAUGUACCUCUGUGGACUUCAGGCAUAAUUAAUGCUCCACAUGAGUAGAGAGACUUAAAUAGUACAAAUAGCUUCACAUGUUAUUUCACAAAUCACAGACUUCAGAACAAUUUAUAUUUAAAUAUGGUUUUAAAAAAAGCAAUUUUAAUCUCUCUUCAGCCCCAAGUAAAACUGUUAUGAUUUAGUGACACCAUGUGGCUACAUUUUGCUUUGCACUCUUAGAACGUUCCUCUGCUUGCAGGUCACUCUGUAUUAGUUCAAUUAUGAUAUCAGAGUUGUAGGUGGAGGUACAAUUCAAACUAAAUUAUUAUUAAAGCAUGAACUAAAAUGAUUACCUUUAAAAACUGAAACUGUUCCUUCUUCCUUUACAUCUGAAUAAGGCAUUUCUUGAAUUCUGAAGACAUGAAUCAUAUAAAUAAAGGCUCAGCAUAAUUCUAGGUAUGAUUAUAAAGCAUCCUGAUGAGAACCACUGAUUAAUGUAAACUUGUCUGCCUUUUAAAGUAAAUAAAUACACCAGUGCCCAGGUAUGAGGCUGGGGGAGAACAAAGAGAAAAAAUGGAAGACGCACAUGCUUUUGUACAAUGCUAAUAUCGUAGGGAAAGGACGCUUCCAUAAAUAGCAAUGUUUAUUUUCUAAUUUGUUUUAUGUCUUGUAGAUCUAUAGCACUGUUAGGUACUAUAAUCUAAUGAAAAUGGGUAGAAAAAAUUAUGCUGCAUCUAAUGAUGGCAGGGAUGAGAGGGGACUCGGAAUGUAUGGUAGCAAUAAAAGAGAUUAAAGUGCCCUAAACCAAGAAGCAGCACAGUUUUAGUAUUCAUCUAAUGAGGUCUCCUACAGUAGACCAGUUACUCCUGAAUAACAUUCAGUGCACACCAAAGAAAGCCCAAAUAUCUACAACAAAAACCAGAGAAUAUCAUCCUCUUAAAUCUCUGCUUGAAACACCCAGCUCCCCUCUUGGGCUUUCAACAAUCUCCUAUUUUAAAAAACCACUCACUUCCUAGACCCUGGUCAACAUCACAGUACCAUUUUAACAACACUUAAAAUUACCAGAUGUUUUCUUACAGUAUAUAUCUGUUCCUCCCAAGUUCUAUGAGAGUAGAAACCUUGGCAGUCUUCAUCAGUGUUACGGCCUCAGUUCCUAAUACAAUGCAUAGCCCAAAGUAGGAGGUUAUUUAUGAAAUGAGUAAGUAAUGGAUGAAAAUACAGAAGAAUAAAUAAAGAAAAAUCUAUUUUCUUAGCUGGUGAAGCACACCUAAAUGUCUUAUUGUAUGUGAAAGCAGAACCAAAUAGUGAGAUGUUUUUCAUCAUUUGUGACCUCUACUCUGGCCAGUGAGACUAAGAGACAAGGCCAGCAGAUGCUCUAUGACACCCUUUCUUCCAUGACACAUUUGGCACAUUAUUAUCUCUAGUUCUAAGAAAAGAAGAAAAAGGAGGGAAGGGAAAACCACAAUGAUUAAAACACUUUCAUUAACAGUCAAAGAAAUCAAUGAACGGAGUAGAGUAUAUGUUAGAAUUUAGCACAUGACAAAUAUGGCUGUUCAUACCAGUGUGGUAAGAACAAUUACUGAAUAAAUGGUCUUAGCUGACUUUCCCUAUCUGAAAAUAUACAUGAAAAAUAUUCUGGCUGGACUAAAUAUUUAGAUAUAAGGAUAAAAAUAACAAGCAGAAAACCUAAAAAUAUAACAUUCUAACACUGGAGUGAGGAACACCCACACAGAUGUGUAUAACGGACUUUUGGACUCAGAGGGAGAGGG
ensembl:lncRNA